UAUGAACAACUUGAAACAGUU
rnacentral:piRNA from 1 species